rnacentral:rRNA from 1 species
AUACUGGAGAAUAGUCCUGAGAAAUUGGGAUUAAUGCUCCAUAGUAUCUUAAAACGGCCUCGUUUAAAGAUUAAAGCUCCGGCGGUAUAAGAUGAGUAUGCGUCCUAUUAGUUAGUUGGUGAGGUAACGGCUCACCAAGACAACGAUAGGUAGGGGUCCUGAGAGGGAGAUCCCCCACACUGGUACUGAGACACGGACCAGACUCCUACGGGAGGCAGCGUGAGGAAUAUUGGGCAAUGGAGGCAACUCUGACCCAGCCAUGCCGCGUGAAGGAAGACGGCCCUAUGGGUUGUAAACUUCUUUUAUACAGGAAGAAACGCAGAUACGUGUAUCUGUUUGACGGUACUGUACGAAUAAGGACCGGCUAACUCCGUGCCAGCAGCCGCGGUAAUACGGAGGGUCCAAGCGUUAUCCGGAAUCAUUGGGUUUAAAGGGUCCGUAGGCGGAUAAUUAAGUCAGAGGUGAAAUCCCCACAGCCAACUGUGGAACCGCCUUUGAUACUGGUUAUCUUGAGUUAUAGUGAAGUAGAUAGAAUAUGUAGUGUAGCGGUGAAAUGCAUAGAUAUUACAUAGAAUACCGAUUGCCAAGGCAGUCUACUAACUAUAUACUGACGCUGAUGGACCCAAAGCGUGGGGAGCCAACACGAUUAGAUACCCCUGGUAGUCCCCCCCGUAAACGAUGGAUACCAGUUGUUGGUCGCUUGCCGAUCAGUGACCAAGCGAAAGUGAUAAGUAUCCCCACCCGGGGAGUACCCGUCCGCCAGAUUGAAACUCACAGGAAUUGACGGGGGCCCCGCACAAGCCCGUGCGAGCCCUGUGGUUUAAUUCCGAUGAUCACGCGCAGGAAACCCUACCCAGGGGCCUUAAAUGUAAGUUUGCCAUGGGGGGUAGAGAAUACCCC